GAGUGUAUAGCUCAGUGGUAGAGUGUGUGUUUAACACGCACAAGGUCCUAGUUCAAUCCCCAGUACCUCCA
rnacentral:tRNA from 1 species